rnacentral:lncRNA from 1 species
AGGUGAAGCUUUGUUCUAAGAAUAUUUGUUUCAUCUAGUUUAUGAGUCCAAAUGAUAUAGACUGUAAAUGUCACAGCAGUGGUGAAAGACUGCUCGGUCAUGAGCACCGACAGUAACUCACUGGCACGUGAAUUUCUGACCGAUGUCAACCGGCUUUGCAAUGCAGUGGUCCAGAGGGUGGAGGCCAGGGAGGAAGAAGAGGAGGAGACGCACAUGGCAACCCUUGGACAGUACCUUGUCCAUGGUCGAGGAUUUCUAUUACUUACCAAGCUAAAUUCUAUAAUUGAUCAGUAGAGAUGGGGUUUCACCGUGUUGACCAGCUGAUCUUAAACUCCUGACCUCAAGCAGUCUACCCCCGUUGGCCUCCCAAAGUGCUGGGAUUACAGGUGUGAGCCACUGCACCCAGCCAAGUUUAUGUAUUUUUAUUCUUUUUCAUGAAUGUGAUUUGUUAAAUGAGUGAUUAAAUAUAAUUUUUAUAUAUUUGUAUGACUUUUCUGUAAAUAAAAUUUAAAAUCAGAAAAAAUCAUGUUAGACCAUGUAUAGUGAUUUAUUUUGAAAUUUUGAUUAUUUAAUAUGUACACCAUGCUCUGUUCUUCCCCACAAUAAAAAAAUUCAAUGCUUUGUCUUCUUUAAAAUAUACCAUAUAAAUAGCAUCAGUAAUAGUAAAUAUCGAGGAAUGACUCUAAUAAAAUAUGUACAGUACUUCUGCAUGGAAUUCUAUAAAACAUUAUUGAGAGAAACUAAAGAAGACCCAAAUAAUUGGAGCAUUAUAUAAUGUUCAUGUAUUGAAAGAAUCAAUAUUAUAAACAUACAUGUUUUCUCCAAAUCUAUAGAUCCCAAUUUAAUCCCAAUCAAAAUCUUAAUAACAGCAUUAUUAAAAAUAACAUUAUUGAGAUAUAAUUCACAUAUCUUAAAAUUCACCCAUUUUAUGUGUACAAUUCAGUGGCUUUUAGUGUAGUCACAGGUAAGUGCAUCUGUCACCACAGUUAAUUUUGGAAUAUUUUCAUCACCUCCAAAAGAAACUCCAUACCCUUUAGCUAUCGUUCCCC